rnacentral:rRNA from 1 species
GACGGGGGAUGCGAGCGUUAUCCGGAAUGAUUGGGCGUAAAGGGUCCGCAGGUGGCCCGGUCAGUCCGCUGUCAAAGCCUGGGGCUCAACCCUGGAGAGGCGGCGGAGACCACCGGGCUUGAGUCCGGUAGGGGCAGAGGGAAUUCCCAGUGUAGAGGUGAAAUUCGUAGAUAUUGGGAAGAACACCGGUGGCGAAGGCGGCUCACUGGCCAGUUUCUGACGCUGCAGCGCGAAAGCGUGGGGAUCAAACAGG